CCUACGGGGGGCAGCAGUAGGGAAUAUUGCUCAAUGGGGGAAACCCUGAAGCAGCAACGCCGCGUGGAGGAUGAAGGUUUUCGGAUUGUAAACCCCUUUUGUCCGAGAAGCAAAUGACGGUAUCUAACGAAUAAGCACCGGCUAACUCCGUGCCAGCAGCCGCGGUAAUACGUAGGGUGCAAGCGUUAUUCGGAAGCACUGGGCGUAAAGAGUGCGUAGUCGGGGUAAUAAGUCAUAUGUGAAAUCCUGUGGCUUAACUACAGAACUGCAGUUGAAACUGUUACUCUGGAGUGUGGGAGAGGUAAGUGGAAUUCUUGGUGUAGGGGUAAAAUGCGUAGAGAUCAAGAGGAAUACUCAUUGCGAAGGCGGCCUGCUGGAACAUUACUGACGCUGAUGCACGAAAGCGUGGGGAGCAAACAGGAUUAGAUACCCUUGUAGUG
rnacentral:rRNA from 1 species